ACACCAGAAAAAGAAAAAUUCAAUGCUAGGUACAAUAGAACCAGCUCAAAACUCUAACUACUUGUCACUAUUCAGCAAAUACUCAAAUUGCUUCAUGAUUUCCCCUAUAUUGGCAUUUACAUAACAUGCUUGGACAGUUAAAAGUAGGACAAGUAGUUACAAGAUCAACAAAAUUCUCCACUUAGUUAACCGAAGGCUUUUGGUUCGCCUAAUGUUCAUCGUUGUCAAAAGCUCCUUUCGACUGUAUUAUAACCCGAGCUCCUGAUGCAAGCCUUUCUUCAAUUUUGAUCAUACUGUCUUUCUCCUCUCUGAAAGAGUCUAUUCUAUUUGAGUGUAUCUUAUCAGAUGGCUCUGUAAUUCGCUUGCUUCCUCCACGGGAUGUGUCAGAUGUAAUGGUCCGUGAACUGCCUAUUCCGUCUGAUGAGAUUCUAGGACCUUCAGAAACAGGAGACUUCAUUGACUCGCUUCUUGCUUGCUGCUUAUUUAGUGUCGCCUUGAUGGAACGUGGAAUGCACUUUAUGACUGAGCUUUUCUCCUCUUUGUCUUCAACUGAAUCUACAUGUUCUUUAUUUGUCCUGUCAGCAUUGUAGGACGACGACCGCUUUAAAAGGGUAGGUUCCUUGGGCAUAUUCGUCUCGAGAAGGCUUCCACUAAAGUAUUCCUUAUCUUCCAACCUCAAACUCAUAAACUUAGGAUUCUCUGCCAGGCAAUCAAGAUCUCCUAAAGUUAACGAGGUUGAGAACAGAGGAGACGGGAACUUUGAAUGCG
rnacentral:misc_RNA from 1 species